GGGGAUGUGGCUCAAGCGGUGGAGCGCUUGCCUGGUAUGCGUGGGGCCUGGGUUCGAUCCUCAGCACCA
rnacentral:tRNA from 1 species